rnacentral:lncRNA from 1 species
AGUAGCUUGUCUUCCUGGCUGGCUUUCCCCCAGCACGGUCUUUUUGCACCGUGUGUGUGAGUGGUGGGGAUGGAUGUUGCAAGAAUGCCUGGAUGUGUUUGCGAAAAGGAAAUUAACCCUUCUCUCGCGCCGUUCCCCCACCCCAAUUUAACCGCCACCCUUUAGAGCCACCCCCGUUCCUCCCAUCUCCUUCCCCUCUCUGGAAACUGGGUAUGUGUGAGUUGCACAGAGAAACUCUGCGUUCCAGCGGCGGCUAGAAACUUCCUCCCCGGCGCUGGAGGGGUGGGCUGAUGGGAGGGGGAUGUGCCUGGACCGGCUUGGGGACAGUGUGGAGUCGACCCUCGAGCUGAGUGGCACGCAGAUGGUGGGAGCAGAGACCGGGGAAGGCGGGAAGAGGACCGGUGGGCUCGCAGGGUCCAUCCGCUCCGGACUUGCACUCAACUUCGGAAAGACAGAAAGCAACUGCGGGAUUGCGGGGCACGUCCCCUUGCGCUGCCCACCCGAAGCGCGGGCUCGACUCCGACCCCCUGGCGUCCGCGGUCGGGGGCUGACUCCGCCCGCCGGUCCCCCGCCCCGGCCCGGGUCGCCCAGCCGAGAGCUCCUGCUCCAGCCCCACCCCCCGCGCUCAACUUUUCGGGGCUCCAGGCCACCGAGAGAGCCUGGGGGGCGCCGGGAGCCACAAAAAGCUCCCGUUCCGGGGCCGUGCGGGGCAGGGGGUCCCCAGCCGCCGGAAACGGGAUGCUCGCUCGGGCGGCGGUGAGCGGGACAACUACUGAACCCGGUCCGGGGUGGGGAUGGGCCGGGCUGGAAGGUGACCCCCGCCUGGAGCCGGCUCCCCUUUCCUUCCCGGCCGCCCGCACCACCCCCCGAAGGCUGAUUUCACCCCCUUCCGCCGACCCCGCCGGGAAGGGAGAAGGAACUUGGGGGCGGGCUGGGUCCCCGGAGAAGCCCCGAGCGCACCUCUCCAAGGACAACCCCUCCCCCCAACGAGGCUCCGCGGCCACCGAGGCAAGUUUCCCACGAGGCGAGGGCGCAGCCGGCAACUCCAGGGAGGAGCCUGCUUCGAGAAGCCCAGCCAGCUCCGAGAGGCGCUAAUUCAAUAAGACAGAGAAAUCUGAGUUCAGAAAUCCUGGUAAAAUCUAAUUUUCGGGUUUUAAUACCCUGGCUAUCAGCCCCCCUCGGUUCCUGAGGACUCUUAAAAGAAAAUAAAGCGCAUUGAUUC